CAUGAAUAACUUCUUCGGGGAAUGCUGCCGAAUGACGUUGAAACGAGUAGAAUUACUUGAAAAAUGAAGAAAAUUUGGAGAAAUUGUGGUGAAUUUCAAAAUGGAAAGUUUGGAAUAUUUGGUAAGUGCGAAGUUGUGGAAUAGGUAGGCAAAAGAUGAACAGUUGAAAGUUGGAAUAGGUAGAAUCGGUUGAAAAACGUAGAAAUUAGAGUAGAAAAACGGAAUUGUAUAAAUUUCGAAUUAUUGGUAAGUGAGAAGUUGUGGAAUAGUUAGGCAUAAGAUGCAUGAGCUAAAUGUUGAAACGGGUUGAAUGGGUGGCAAAAUGAAGAAAUUAGAAAGGAAAAACGCUGUCAAAUGACACUGAAUGAUGUAUACAUGAAGUGGGAUUGAGCUGAACCUGUUGAUGUUGGGACAAUACAAAUUGGUUAAAGAAAAUUGGAAACUGCAGGUGAAUAUGUACAUUUUAGAAAAAGCAGUAAGCAAGAAAACCAGUAAGCGAGUAAAAACAGUACAUACGCAAGAAAUAUUAGUCAACAAGAAACAGUCAGCAAGAUAACUAGUAAGAAUCAAAUCUGAAUCUGUUCUUAUUAGGCAUAACAUGUGCAU